rnacentral:rRNA from 1 species
AUUGAACGCUGGCGGCAGGCCUAACACAUGCAAGUCGAGCGGUAGCACAGAGAGCUUGCUCUCGGGUGACGAGCGGCGGACGGGUGAGUAAUGUCUGGGAAACUGCCUGAUGGAGGGGGAUAACUACUGGAAACGGUAGCUAAUACCGCAUAACGUCGCAAGACUAAAGUGGGGGACCUUCGGGCCUCAUGCCAUCAGAUGUGCCCAGAUGGGAUUAGCUAGUAGGUGGGGUAAUGGCUCACCUAGGCGACGAUCCCUAGCUGGUCUGAGAGGAUGACCAGCCACACUGGAACUGAGACACGGUCCAGACUCCUACGGGAGGCAGCAGUGGGGAAUAUUGCACAAUGGGCGCAAGCCUGAUGCGGCCAUGCCGCGUGUGUGAAGAAGGCCUUCGGGUUGUAAAGCACUUUCAGCGGGGAGGAAGGCGAUAAGGUUAAUAACCUUGUCGAUUGACGUUACCCGCAGAAGAAGCACCGGCUAACUCCGUGCCAGCAGCCGCGGUAAUACGGAGGGUGCAAGCGUUAAUCGGAAUUACUGGGCGUAAAGCGCACGCAGGCGGUCUGUCAAGUCGGAUGUGAAAUCCCCGGGCUCAACCUGGGAACUGCAUUCGAAACUGGCAGGCUAGAGUCUUGUAGAGGGGGGUAGAAUUCCAGGUGUAGCGGUGAAAUGCGUAGAGAUCUGGAGGAAUACCGGUGGCGAAGGCGGCCCCCUGGACAAAGACUGACGCUCAGGUGCGAAAGCGUGGGGAGCAAACAGGAUUAGAUACCCUGGUAGUCCACGCCGUAAACGAUGUCGAUUUGGAGGUUGUGCCCUUGAGGCGUGGCUUCCGGAGCUAACGCGUUAAAUCGACCGCCUGGGGAGUACGGCCGCAAGGUUAAAACUCAAAUGAAUUGACGGGGGCCCGCACAAGCGGUGGAGCAUGUGGUUUAAUUCGAUGCAACGCGAAGAACCUUACCUGGUCUUGACAUCCACAGAACUUUCCAGAGAUGGAUUGGUGCCUUCGGGAACUGUGAGACAGGUGCUGCAUGGCUGUCGUCAGCUCGUGUUGUGAAAUGUUGGGUUAAGUCCCGCAACGAGCGCAACCCUUAUCCUUUGUUGCCAGCGGUUAGGCCGGGAACUCAAAGGAGACUGCCAGUGAUAAACUGGAGGAAGGUGGGGAUGACGUCAAGUCAUCAUGGCCCUUACGACCAGGGCUACACACGUGCUACAAUGGCAUAUACAAAGAGAAGCGACCUCGCGAGAGCAAGCGGACCUCAUAAAGUAUGUCGUAGUCCGGAUUGGAGUCUGCAACUCGACUCCAUGAAGUCGGAAUCGCUAGUAAUCGUAGAUCAGAAUGCUACGGUGAAUACGUUCCCGGGCCUUGUACACACCGCCCGUCACACCAUGGGAGUGGGUUGCAAAAGAAGUAGGUAGCUUAACCCUCGGGAGGGCGCUUACCACUUUGUGAUCCAUGACUGGGGUGA